CCGGGUGUGUAAGCGCAGCGAUGCGUUGAGCUAACCGGUACUAAUGAACCGUGAGGCUUAACCUUACAACGCCGAAGC
rnacentral:rRNA from 7 species